rnacentral:rRNA from 1 species
GACGAACGCUGGCGGCGUGCUUAACACAUGCAAGUCGAACGGCAAGGCCCUGCUUUUGUGGGGUGCUCGAGUGGCGAACGGGUGAGUAACACGUGAGUAACCUGCCCUUGACUUUGGGAUAACUUCAGGAAACUGGGGCUAAUACCGGAUAGGAGCUCCUGCUGCAUGGUGGGGGUUGGAUAGUUUCGGCGGUUGGGGAUGGACUCGCGGCUUAUCAGCUUGUUGGUGGGGUAGUGGCUUACCAAGGCUUUGACGGGUAGCAGGCAUGAGAGGGUGACCGGCCACAUUGGGACUGAGAUACGGCCCAGAGUCCUACGGGAGGCAGCAGUGGGGAAAAUUGCACAAAGGGCGGAAGCCUGAUGCAGCAACGCCGCGUGCGGGAUGACGGCCUUCGGGUGGUAAACCGAUUUCGCCUGUGACGAAGCGUGAGUGAGGGUAAUGGGUAAAGAAGAACAGGCUAACUACGUG